GUCUACAGCCAUACCACCUUGAACAAUCCUAAUGUCUGAUCUCGGAAGCUAGGCAGGGUCGGGCCUGGUUAAUACUUGGAUGGGGGACCACCUAGGAAGAACAGGUGCUGUAGGCA
rnacentral:rRNA from 1 species